rnacentral:rRNA from 1 species
AACGAACGCUGGCGGCAGGCUUAACACAUGCAAGUCGAGCGCCCCGCAAGGGGAGCGGCAGACGGGUGAGUAACGCGUGGGAACCUACCCAUCUCUACGGAAUAACGCAUGGAAACGUGUGCUAAUACCGUAUACGUCCUUCGGGAGAAAGAUUUAUCGGAGAUGGAUGAGCCCGCGUUGGAUUAGCUAGUUGGUGGGGUAAAGGCCUACCAAGGCAACGAUCCAUAGCUGGUCUGAGAGGAUGAUCAGCCACACUGGGACUGAGACACGGCCCAGACUCCUACGGGAGGCAGCAGUGGGGAAUAUUGGACAAUGGGCGCAAGCUUGAUCCAGCCAUGCCGCGUGAGUGAUGAAGGCCCUAGGGUUGUAAAGCUCUUUCACCGGUGAAGAUAAUGACGGUAACCGGAGAAGAAGCCCCGGCUAACUUCGUGCCAGCCGCCGCCGUAACAC